rnacentral:rRNA from 1 species
AUUGAACGCUGGCGGCAUGCCUUACACAUGCAAGUCGAACGGCAGCACGGGAGCAAUCCUGGUGGCGGGUGGCGAACGGGAGAGUAAUAUAUCGGAACGUGCCCAGUAGUGGGGGAUAGCCCGGCGAAAGCCGGAUUAAUACCGCAGGAGACCUGAGGGAGAAAGCGGGGGAUCGCAAGACCCCGCGCGAUUGGAGCGGCCGAUAUCAGAGUAGCUAGUGGGUGGGGUAAAGGCCUAUCACGGCAACGAUCUGUCGUUGGUCUGAGAGGACGACCAGCCACACUGGGACUGAGACACGGCCCAGACUCCUACGGGAGGCAGCAGUGGGGAAGUUUGGACAAUGGGCGCAAGCCUGAUCCAGCAAUGCCGCGUGCAGGAAGAAGGCCUUCGGGUUGUAAACUGCUUUUGUCAGGGAAGAAAUCCCUUGGGAUAAUACCUCGGGGGGAUGACGGUACCUGAAGAAUAAGCACCGGCUAACUACGUGCCAGCCGCCGCCGUAAGAC